UAAUAUCAAUUUAAUAUUUCCGGUUUUCUCAGGGAAUCAAAAUUCAAAAUUAAACAUGGAACCAGAUAAGAUCAAUGUUUUGUUAUUACUGCUAUAUUAUGUAGUAAUGACGAUCGUUUUAAAAAUAGAAUAUUUUUUCUUUUAUUACAUAUACAUAAGAAAUUGUAAACGAGAGAAAAUGUAUCCUGAUACUGUCAAUUUAUACCAACAACCAAACCAUGUUGAAACUAAUACACAUAUUGAUAACAUCCCGAAAAAAUAUAUCAACGAUCAAACAAGUCCACAGAUUAGAGAAGUUGAAAAUCCUGCAGAACACUCUGAAAAAACAUUAAAUACUCUUAAUUCUGAAAUGGAAGAAUUAUCAGCUGCCAUUGCAAGCUGGAUAGAAGCUCCUAACUAAGAACAUAUAGAUCUAAUGGAAGUAUUGUGACUCAAUACUAGGUCGUGAAUAUUGGAUAAAAAUUAUUAUUAAUUUUGUCACAGAUUUGGAUUAAAUUUAAAACAAAAUUUAAGAAGUGGAACACCAUAAAAUCAUGAGCGAAUUUCAUUUGAAUAACAGAAUGUCCACAGAAUUGAAAAUAUAUAUAAAUAAUACAACUAACUAUCUUAUACAACUAUCAUAUAUAGUCUUUGAUUGAAAUCGAAGAAAAAUGUUUAUAAAUAAUACAACAAGUUCUAAUUUAUUAUCUAUGGCAACAUACUGUAAAUAUCUUAUACCUUACCCAUGCAGAUAAAUAAGAAGAUAAAAUAAGAUCUGGACAUCAUUGCUAUUAUGAAAUAACUUUCAAAUAUAAGUAACUAUAUCUCUAGAAAAAACACCAUACCCUGUUUUAGAAUUAGUAUUAUAUGAAUCUCUAGAGGAAUACACUGCGCAAUGGAAAUGCAGAAGUAUGCGGAGUGCAAAUUUUUUGAUAAGCAACUACAACAAAUAUGAACUAAUAUUAUACAUAAUUAAAGAGCUUUUCUAUU